rnacentral:lncRNA from 1 species
UUGGUGUUCAUUUGGUCAUGAAUCGAGAAAAUUUGUGUUCGUGAGUUUCUAGGGAGGACUCUGUUUCGUGAUACCUUGGUUUGAUUGUGUACACACAUAAGAUUUUAAUAACUUGGAAACUAUAAAAGAAAGGUGGUGUUAUUUUAGUGUUUCUUGGCAUUCAUUUGGAAAGUUAUCCUAUUUCUGAAUUAUUAAACAACUUAAAUUAGCAUUGCUCAUCUUACCCUUCUUAUUUAAUAUUGGUUUUUAUUCCAUUUAACUAGCUUUAACUUCAAAAGUGUUUCUGGUUGCAUAAAGUGUUAUCUGGGGCUGAAAAUUUUUUCGAGGCUUCUUAAGGUCAUCAUUGAGUUAUUGUAAAAAUUUGGGACUCA